AGAGAGAGACAUGCGCGCGUAUCAAUAAGCGGAGGAAAAGAAACUAACAAGGAUUCCCCUAGUAACGGCGAGUGAAGCGGGAAGAGCUCAAAUUUGAAAUCUUAAAGGGUUUCCCUUUACGAAUUGUAGUUUAAAGAAGUGUUUUCUGUUGAGGUUUUGGUAAAAGUUCUUUGGAAUUGGACAUCAUAGAGGGUGAGAAUCCCGUAUUUGACCUUUACUUUCAACUUUGUGAUACACUUUCAAAGAGUCGGAUUGUUUGGGAAUGCAGUCCAAAAUGGGUGGUAAAUUUCAUCUAAAGCUAAAUAUUGGCGAGAGACCGAUGGCGAACAAGUACCGUGAGGGAAAGAUGAAAAGAACUUUGAAAAGAGAGUUAAACAGUACGUGAAAUUGUCAAAAGGGAAGCGUUUGACACCAGUGUUGUUUUUCUGAAAAUCAAUUAAAGAACUGUUUAUGCUAAGCUGUUUAGACUUUAUCAGCUAACUGUUUAGUUUUGAGCUUUUCUUUAAUGCACUCUUCAGUUAACAAGUCAACAUCAAUUUCUUUUGCUGUAAAAAAGCUUGAGGAAGGUGGCUUGAGAUUCGUCUUAAGUGUUUAUAGCCUCUUGCCUAUGCAGUCGGAGAGAUUGAGGUCUGCAGCGUAGAUCCUUCGGGGCUAAAUGCAUUUGUGCUAAGUUAUAGCAUUUUAUAGACAACUUGUUGACUAUGAUUUGUCUUGUAGCUUACUCGCUUAUGUUAUUUUACCUACGCUUAGGAUGUUGAGCGCAUGUCUCUCUCU
rnacentral:rRNA from 1 species